UACGGAGGAUCCAAGCGUUAUCCGGAAUCAUUGGGUUUAAAGGGUCCGUAGGCGGUUUGGUAAGUCAGUGGUGAAAGCCCAUCGCUCAACGGUGGAACGGCCAUUGAUACUGCCAGACUUGAAUUAUUAGGAAGUAACUAGAAUAUGUAGUGUAGCGGUGAAAUGCUUAGAGAUUACAUGGAAUACCAAUUGCGAAGACAGGUUACUACUAAUGGAUUGACGCUGAUGGACGAAAGCGUGGGUAGCGAACAGGAUUAGAAC
rnacentral:rRNA from 1 species